AUUGAACGCUGGCGGCAGGCUUAACACAUGCAAGUCGAGCGAGCGGCGGACGGGUGAGUAAGGUCUGGGAAAAUGCCUGAUGGAGGGGGAUAACAACUGGAAACGAGAGCUAAUUACGCAUACCAUAGGAUGUGCCCGGAUGGGAUUAGCUAGUAGGUGGGGUAAUGGCUCACCAAGGUGACGAACCCUAGCUGGUCUGCGAGGAUGACCAGCCACACUGGAACUGAGACACGGUCCAGACUCCUACGGGAGGCAGCAGUGGGGAAUAUUGCACAAUGGGCGCAAGCCUGAUGCAGCCAUGCCGCGUGUGUGAAGAAGGCCUUCGGUUUGUAAAGCACUUGCAGCGAGGAGGCGUUACUCGCAGAAGAAGCACCGGCUAACUCCGUGCCAGCAGCCGCGGUAAUUC
rnacentral:rRNA from 1 species